GAAAAUUUUCCAUCUUUUUCUUGGUAUUAAAUUUUGCAUAUUAUCUUCAUUCUUCAUUGCUAUAUGAUAACUAAGUAAGGAAACUAUGAAAAUUCUGAAAAUAAUGGAAGGAGUGGGCUGGCAUAGUUUAGAAAAAUGAGUUCGUUAUAUUUACCCCUGAUUCAUUUUAUAUGCAAUUCAGUUCUUUUCUUGUUAGUAUGUUACUGUAAAAUUAAUGACAUCUUUUAUGUAUAUUUGGACAUGAUCUUGUAGUCAUAUUCAUAUCUUGAAAUGUUUAAGAUUACAAGUUUUUAAAAGGUUUGGUUUGUUAACAAAACGAGCCUAACAUUUUUGACAUGUUCCAAAAAUCUUCUUUCUUUCUUAAAGUUCAUCUUCAAUGAAAUACAACGGAUGAAGUAUCUCUGAGUUUUCAUGAGAUCUCUGUUUGUGAACCUGACCAGUUAACUUAUUUGAUUCAGCUGGAUACCAAAGAGCCACUGCUCGCAAGGUGAGGGACAGCCACGACCAAUUUGGGGCAGAUAUAUUCAAAAGUGGACAUUCAACGUAGCCAAAAAAUCCUUACUUUAUAGCGAAAUUACACGCAAAAAGGAGAGACCAACUAUACGUUCCAACUGUUGUGGUCAAAGCCUUCAAUUUUGAACUCCCAUCGAGCAUGACCAUUCGCGGCUCUACUGGCAGAGAAUUUGAGACAAAACUCAAGAGUUGGAAGGAUGGUAGAAUAUGGCUAACUGAAGGAUGGCAUAGUUUAUGCAGGUGGAACCUUGUGGAGAAAGAUGUCAAGUGUAUUUGCGAAGUUGUGAAAGGAAAAGGCAAUAAAGUCCUCUACUUGCAAGUUCAAGUUCUUCACGAAGGAUCAGUUUCCAACUCCAACACGAAGUAUAAGAAAUUGUUUAUUGCUACUUGACAUAGAAUUUCAAAUUUUUAUGGCUUUAAGUGCUGUUAUAAGUUGACAGGUUUGAAGACUACGUACUGUUGUUUGAUGAUAAAAGUUCUAGUUUAAUUUGUAUUAGUAAGUUCUGGCAAUUAAGUCUAUUAACUAUUGUUAAGACUAAAGUCUGGUAAAUUUACAUUUAAAUGUUCAACCAUUAUUUGGUUUUCUUCUGUUUUAAAUGCUCAGGGGGGUAAAGUUUGAUCUAAAUACUUAUAUAUCAUUUGCGUGUUGUUUAUAGUCAUCAAGUAUUGGAAAUAUAUCCAUAACAAUCUUGUUCUGAAAUUUUAUUUAAACACGUUGUUGAUGUGGCCGGACACAUGGAAGACGAAGACGAAGAAGAAGAUAAUGAUGAUGAAGAGGAGGAAGAAACUGAAGAGGAUGAAAGGACUGGUACAUUUAAGAAAAAUGUGUCACGUUCAGAAGUUGGAUGCAAAAGAGACACUGCUUGCAAGGUGAGGGAUAUCCCCGACCAAUAUGGUGCAGAUAUAUUCAAAAGUGGACGCGCAACUCAGCCAAAAAAUCCUUACUUUGUAGCGAAAAUAUGAGCAAAAAGGAGAGAUCAACUGUACAUUCCAAUUGAUGUGGUGAGAGAUUACAAACUUGAACUCCCUUCAUGAAUGAUAAUUCGCGAUUCUGCUGACAGAGAAUUUGAGACGAAACUCAAAAAUUGGAAGGAUGGUAGAAUAUGGCUAGCUGGCAGAUGGCACAGUUUAUGCAGGUGGAAUCUUGUGGAAAAAGAUGACAGAUGCAUUUGUGAUUUUGUGAGAGGAAAAGGCAAAAAAAAGCCUUUACUUGCAAGUUCAAGUUCUCCAUGAAGUAUCAGUUUCCAAGUAGUGAACUUGUAACAAGUAGUGUUGUUUGUUGUCAAAUAUUGAGGAUUUAUCUAGUUUGUAUUGAAAGCUCUGACAAUUAAAAGUCUGUUAAAUUGGUGUUAAAACUAAA